rnacentral:rRNA from 1 species
AUUGAACGCUGGCGGCAUGCUUUACACAUGCAAGUCGAGCGGCAGCGCGGGGGCAACCCUGGCGGCGAGCGGCGAACGGGUGAGUAAUGCAUCGGAACGUACCCUGGAGUGGGGGAUAACGCCGCGAAAGCGGCGCUAAUACCGCAUAUGCUCUGAGGAGGAAAGUGGGGGACCGCAAGGCCUCACGCUCUGGGAGCGGCCGAUGUCCGAUUAGCUAGUUGGUGAGGUAAAGGCUUACCAAGGCGACGAUCGGUAGCUGGUCUGAGAGGAUGAUCAGCCACACUGGGACUGAGACACGGCCCAGACUCCUACGGGAGGCAGCAGUGGGGAAUUUUGGACAAUGGGGGCAACCCUGAUCCAGCCAUGCCGCGUGAGUGAAGAAGGCCUUC